UACACACGGAUAACAUACCGAAAGGUAUGCUAAUACGGGAUAAUAUAUUUGAGAGGCAUCUCUUAAAUAUCAAAGGUGAGCCAGUACAGGAUGGACCCGCGUCUGAUUAGCUAGUUGGUAAGGUAACGGCUUACCAAGGCAACGAUCAGUAGCCGACCUGAGAGGGUGAUCGGCCACAUUGGAACUGAGACACGGUCCAAACUCCUACGGGAGGCAGCAGUGGGGAAUAUUGCACAAUGGGCGAAAGCCUGAUGCAGCAACGCCGCGUGAGUGUUGAAGGCCUUCGGGUCGUAAAACUCUGUCCUCAAGGAAGAUAAUGACGGUACUUGAGGAGGAAGCCCCGGCUAACUACGUGCCAGCAGCCGCGGUAAUACGUAGGGGGCUAGCGUUAUCCGGAUUUACUGGGCGUAAAGGGUGCGUAGGCGGUCUUUCAAGUCAGGAGUGAAAGGCUACGGCUCAACCGUAGUAAGCUCUUGAAACUGGGAGACUUGAGUGCAGGAGAGGAGAGUGGAAUUCCUAGUGUAGCGGUGAAAUGCGUAGAUAUUAGGAGGAACACCAGUUGCGAAGGCGGCUCUCUGGACUGUAACUGACGCUGAGGCACGAAAGCGUGGGGAGCAAACAGGAUUAGAUACCCUGGUAGUCCACGCUGUAAACGAUGAGUACUAGGUGUCGGGGGUUACCCCCUUCGGUGCCGCAG
rnacentral:rRNA from 1 species